rnacentral:rRNA from 1 species
CCUACGGGUGGCAGCAGUGAGGAAUAUUGGUCAAUGGGCGCGAGCCUGCACCAGCCAAGUAGCGUGAAGGAUGACUGCCCUACGGGUUGUCAACUUCUUUUAUAAAGGAAUAAAGUGAGGCACGUGUGCCUUUUUGUAUGUACUUUAUGAAUAAGGAUCGGCUAACUCCGUGCCAGCAGCCGCGGUAAUACGGAGGAUCCGAGCGUUAUCCGGAUUUAUGGGGUUUAAAGGGAGCGUAGAUGGGUUGUUAAGUCAGUUGGGAAAGUUUGCGGCUCAACCGUAAAAUUGCAAUUGAUACUGGCAGUCUUGAGUACAGUUGAGGUAGGCGGAAUGCGUGGUGUAGCGGUGAAAUGCAUAGAUAUCACGCAGAACCCCGAUUGCGAAGGCAGCCUUCCGGCGCCCUACUGACGCUGAGGCACGAAAGUGCGGGGAUCGAACAGGAUUAGAUACCCCAGUAGUC